GAGUGGCGGACGGGUGAGUAAUACGUAGAGAUCUGCCUUUUAGUGUGGGAUAACUUGGGGAAACCCGAGCUAAUACCUCAUAAUCUCUAAGGAGGAAAGGAUGGGACCAGAAAUGGCCAUUUGCUGAAAGAUGAAUCUACGUCGGAUUAGCUAGUUGGUGGGGUAAAGGCCUACCAAGGCGAAGAUCCGUAGCUGGUCUGAGAGGAUGAUCAGCCACACUGGGACUGAGACACGGCCCAGACUCC
rnacentral:rRNA from 1 species